AAGAAUAGUUAUUUGCAUCACUUGGAUUGAAACCACGAAAUUACAGUAUACGUGUGAAUUCGUAUACCGAGAGAAUAAUUUUUGCAUAAGUAUGUAUGUUUCGUCGAGACGAAGCCGAACAUACAAACGA